AGCGAACGCUGGCGGCAGGCUUAACACAUGCAAGUCGAGCGGGCGUAGCAAUACGUCAGCGGCAGACGGGUGAGUAACGCGUGGGAACGUACCUUUUGGUUCGGAACAACACAGGGAAACUUGUGCUAAUACCGGAUAAGCCCUUACGGGGAAAGAUUUAUCGCCGAAAGAUCGGCCCGCGUCUGAUUAGCUAGUUGGUGAGGUAACGGCUCCCCAAGGCGACGAGGCGUAACUGGUCUGGGAGGAUGAUCAGCCACAUUGGGACUGGGACACGGCGCAAACCUCCCGGGAGGGGCGAAGGGGGGAAGUAUGAACAAGGGGGGAGACCCGAAGCCCUCCGGACCGGGAAAGUGUGGAAGGCCGGAGGGUUGAAAGGCUUUUUUGGGCGGGAAGUUUAGACGGGACCCAAAAAGAAAGCCCCGGCUAACUUUGUG
rnacentral:rRNA from 1 species